CCUCCGCCUCCUCCUUCCUCCUCCUCUUCCCCCCCUCCUCCUCCCUCCCCAUCCUCCUCUUUCUCUCCAGACUCCUUCACCUCCCUCGCCCUCCUCUUCCUCCUCACCCAGGUUUUCCCAGACCCUUAUGGAAAAGAAGUGUUCCACCUUCCUGGCCUUGAUGGCUGUGCCUCAGGCACUGAACCAUCCGUGGCAGGCAUAGUGUUCGGUGCAUACUAGUCACUCACUACUUGUUUGCUAAUCUCCACUCAACUGAACUCUGUCAAAUUUUUAAAUGGAUUGCAUUUGGGUAGGGGAGAGGCAGAGGGUAGUGUGCCUUUGGAGCAGGAGGGCUAGGCAAUAUUGCAGGAAAAUCUUACCCAAAUUAGCAACUCAGUGUCCGAUUGGGGGAAGAAAUAAGAGUUCUACUAAAAGGUGGGCAGUCUAUGAACAUUUUAACAGAGGCACAAGGAAAGUAGUCUGGAAGGGAGAAGUAAACUAGGAGACACAAAAAAAAAACACUGGGAGAACUUGGGACUAGCCAUAAAAGGUUAGGGAGUGAAAGCAAUCCCAUGAUGCAAUUACAGCCUCCCUAACGUGUGAAGAAUCCCUACUCCAAAAAGUUGUCUGUCUGUCUCAACUGUCUUAAUUUCAUCAACAACCAAUGAUACUAGUUUUUAAAGACAUUUAAUGGACAUGCAUACAGAAGGACUCAGGGAGAGGCUAAUAUGGAGAAUAGACUAUAUGGGGCAGGGAGGAAGUAGGGAGAUCAUUUAGGAGACUAUUGAAAUAAUUCUUUGAGGAGAUAAUUUUGGUUUGGUCCAGAGUGGUAAUGCAGGUGAUGAGAGGUUGUUAAUUUUGUAUACAAGUUGAAGGUAGGACUAACUAAUAAGAUUUGUGACAGACUGGACAUGGAGUAUGAGAGAAAGAGAAGGAUGACUCCACAAAAUUUGGCCUGACCAACUGGAAGGAUGGAGUUGAUAUUUAGGGAGCUGGAGAAAACUGCAAGAAGAGUAUGUUGUGGGGAAGGGUAGGAAUCAGAGGUUUGGUACCUGGGGUACCCAACAUUUAGAGUUUGGGAGACGGAGAAGAAGCAAUCAGUGAGGUAGAAAGAGAACUAAGAGAUGUGUUCUAGAAGCUGAAUGAAGAAAAUAUUUCAAGAAGGAAGGAAUGUGGUUGUUGUGUAUUGGUUUGUUGUGAUUUCCAAAUCUCCGCAUUUAUGACAAAAACGAGAUUGUUUUUAAGAGUCAAGUUUUGAUUAAGAAUGAAGUAAGCUGCGACGGGCUAAGGACAUCGCGUCUGUUGUUGUUUAUAAGCACUUAGGAGCUCAGGUGCUGGGGGCUUAGCAGUAAAAACGUAUGAAGGAAGAAGCAGCUAUGGCAAGGGGGACAUUAAGACUCUAAAUACGAAGAGUUUGUAAGGACUAUCAGAGGGUGUUUGCUCUGUGCAAGGUGACUGUCUCCGCUGACCACAGUUCCCGGAAGACCUUGGGACAAUUAACGCCUGCUGCUGUAAAGACAAUUCUUACCCUCAGUGCAAAACCCAAGUAAUGGCAGACCAAGGAGACCUUGCUGAUCAGCAGUAACAUGCUACUAGCAACAGGGGAUUUUUAGUUUUGCGCUGCCAGCGGUUGAUUGGCUAAGCCCGCUCUCCUGAGUAUCAACUGGUAUAAAGGAACACUUCAACUAAAUAUGGUCUUUCUUUCAUCUUCCCUUGCCUGGAACAAUAGUGUGAUUAAUCUGUCAUGGGUUUGGAGUAUGUUAUUCUUUACUGGGUUAUUAAGAGACAUUAUCCUGUAUGCCAUUGUUUUAUAAAAUUCCUACAGCGAACCUGUGAAAAAUAAAUUCCUGGGACAGACAAACUCAGUCUCUGAGGAUUAAUUUGCCUCCCCCCAAAAAACCGUGCUCAGCCAAGUCAAUGUUAUGUCGAAUAAGGAUUGAGAUUUGAUUACUGGACUUAAUAGAUUCAAUGUCAUUCGUGAUGGUAGUAAGAGCAGUUUCACUGUAGACAGGCAAACAGAACCCUAACUGGAGAUCGUUCCAGAGAAAACAGGAGUGAGUAUUUCAACUCAUUUCAAAUAGAGUGGGGCUACUGGAGGAUUUUUUUUUUAAGACUAGAGAUAUUAUAGUAUGUUUACUGAUAGAGGUAAUCUAGUAAGUAGCCAGGGGAAAAAAUCAUGAUAUAAGAGACAAAGGAGAGAAAUGCUGUAAUGAUGGCCUUGAGUAGGUAAAAGAGGAUGCAAUCUAGUGUAUAAGUUGAAAGAUUAACCUUAGGAAUAUGGAGAAUUCAUCCAUAAUACAAGAAGAAGGAAAGUGUACGGUAACUAAUUUAUGGCAGAUGUGGGCAUCGGAGAUUGUAGCAUUCUCUUCUGAUUGCUUCUGUUUUCUCACUGAAAUAAAAAGCAAGAUCUAGACUAGGUUAUGUUGUAGUAACAAACAACCUCCCUCUGUAUUGCAGCAGUUCAACACAUCAAAGGCGUGUUUCUCUCUUGCUAAAUGUCUAUUGCUGAUCAGCCUGGGAAUGCUGCUCUGACUCAUCCAUGGGGCUAGAGGGCUCUCUGUGCUCCUCUAUGGCUGACACUGAAAAGAGAAGAGUGGCAUACUGCCACUUAGAGCCUCUGUCUGGAAGUGUUAUGUCACCCUUCUACGUGUCACUGGCCAAAAUAAGCAACACUGCCAUAUCUAAUUCAAAGUGGGGCUAUGGGUGCAGUCUUACCAUGCUUCUGGAAGGAAAGGAAACCAGAACAUUUGUGAGUGGAAGAGGAGGCUUGGACGAUUAUGGAGAGUGAAGGCAUAAAAUAAUGUUUUGGAGAGUGGGAUAACAGGUGUAAAUAUGACUAAGGACUGAAUGAAUGCCAAGGACGGGGGGGCAUAUGUUAAAACCGGUUAGGGUGAUGGGCUAGGUGGUGCCAGAUGAAGGAAGGAUCAGAGAUAAAGUGGUCAGGUCCCGUGGAGGAAAACAAAACUAAACAAACAAAAGGUCCAGUAGAAUAAAAAAGAGGAGGAUGUUUGAUUUGCAGAAGUACAUAAUGAGGAACAUUCUAGAGAUGGGUGCCGUGGAGCAAUGGGACUGCAAGCCAGAUGGUGGAUGUGCAGUGCAACCUGUAAGUUCUCUUUUUGAGCGGCCCUGCCCGCUUCUUUUGCCAACAGUGCCUUGAUUUCCUUACACAGGGUUCAUUUAGUCUUCAUGGGUACCUCUACAUGUAUUUGCAACUUGCUUUACAAAAUACAUGUGAGCUCUCUACUUUGUGUAGCAAGCUAUAAAGACUUUCUCCAGUUGCCUAAAUUAUCAGGAGUCAGAAGACAUUAAGUUGACAAGAAAUUGGGCAUAUAUUAUUUUUGAGAGGCCCUAUUUUAAAGAUCAUAAUGGAUCUGAGAGGAUUUUAUUAUCCAAAAAUAAAUUGUUAUGACAAUUCAAAAAGUACUGUCACCUUAUUACUUUUAUAAACUGUAAAGAUUGGUCAGGGCUUGUAACAGGGCUUUAUUGCUUCCUUGUCAUCAAAAACACCAACAAGAAGUGACUAUGGUGCAUAGAGUAAUGGCCUCCCAAGGACGUCUGUCUGCUAAUCUCCAGAGCCUGUGCAUAUGUUAUAGUUCAUGGUCAAGGGGAAUGGCAGCACAUGAAAUUUAGUUUGCUAAUCAGCUGGAUUUAAAAUAGGGAGAUUAUGUUGAAUUAUCUAGACGGGCCUUGAAGGUUGAAGAAGGGGACACAAGAGUAAGUAUCAUAGUGAUGCCAUGUGAAAAAGAUUCAACUGGCCAUUGCUGGCUUUGAAGAUGGAAGGGGGUCAUGAGCCAGGGAAAAUGGCAAUCUCUAAAAGGUAGAAAAGGCAAGGAAAUUAGAUUUUCCUCUCAAACCUCCAGAAAGGAAUGCAGCCUGGCCAACAUCUUUCUGUUGGCCCAGGGAGACCUGUUUUGGACUUCUGACUCCCAGGACUGUUAGAUAAUAAAUUUUUGCUGGAUGAAGUGUGUUCUAAGUUUGUGGUAAUGUGGUAAAGCAGCAAUAGGAAGCUAAUAGAGUGACUAAUCAUAUUGGACGACCGACCUUGACCCUUUUAUCUUCCCCCAAAGAAGGGAAAUUGGCAAUCCCAAACCUUGGUCCCUACCAAAUCACUACCAAACCAGUGACUUAUUUCAAGGACCUGUUGGUUAAUCAGUAGUGUUGGAGGAAAUAUGAAUCAACUUGUCUCUCCAGAAGGAUCGCCCGUGUUAAGCAAUGGGCAAGGAAAACUAUUUGGCACCAUUUACUUGAGUCAGUUGGAAGAAAAGAUGAAAUUCGCAGGCUCUCUCUAGACGGCUUCUUCCCUUGGGCUCACUAUACAUUUCAGGUGAAUCUGUGAAUAUCCUGAAAUGGUCUACAAGUUGAGUUGCUUCUGAGGACUUUUCUGGUGAACAGAUCCUUCCAGAGAUCUGUGACCAGAAAGUUGCUAGCUAUGCAGCUGUGGUGUCGCACACAAUGCUGUGGUCUUGGUGUUACAGUAAAAAAAAAAGCUACAACUGAUGGAGCCUCUGCUAUGACGUGUGUUGUCACACAGCCCACCGCGCUUUAACCCUCCCAGCCUCCCUCCUAGCUAUUAAUAAUCCUAGCUAUUAAUAAUCCCCCAUUUCACAUGAGAAAAUUGUGUUGCACAGAAGCUGACGAACUGGCCUCAGUUUUGUAGCCAGGGAACGGUGGUGCCACCUUCCUCCACCUCUUUCUUUACAUGACAUCCUGCUGCUCCCCAGCCGGCUGCCUAUCCGUACCUGUUUCUUAUUAUUGUAUUACUUCCAAGACUCACAGAAACUCUGCAAGGUUGUCUUCGUUUUAUGAACAAAGAAACUAAGGUUCAGAGAACUGAAGCAAAUUUCCCAAAGAUACUCAACAAGGAGUUAAACAUGCCACAUAAUUCAAACUAUGAUUAUUUUAUUCUGAAGAAAAGAUGGCCUCAAAAAAAGCUGUUGAGAGCAGCUCUAAAGGCAGAAGAAAUCUGUGAGAAGUGAACCUGAAUCCAUCAGGCCAAAGCAGCAGCCGAGGGAGAAGAGAGGUGACCAGCAGGGAGAAGCCUGAGCUUUGUGUGAUGCCCUGUAGAUGUGGUCUUUCCAGAAGAACAUCGUCCACAGUGACCAACCAAAAAUGUGGGGAGCACGGAGAAGAAAAGGCAAGUGGAUGCACUUAGUUCCCCAUCUUCUUGUCUUCUUUCGUUCUGAGGCACAACAGAUUGUUCCUUGAUGGGGGUUAGAAACCAGGUAGAAGAAAGCAUAUUCUGUACCGUGAGCCACUUAAGAUUUAGAGACAGCUACAGAGAAGCCGGGAAAGACAGAGAGAGAGGGGGGAAAGAGGAAGAAGAAGAAGAAGAAAAGACAAGCUAAGAUAAAAAUCAUUCCCACUUAUAUAGCUGGAAUGUUUAUAAUGUAAAGAGACAGCUGCAUUAAAGGAUUAGGCCCCACUGCCUGAUUAACAUCAUUUGAUCUUUUGCUAUUGAAAAGACCCUGUGUAUUUUCAAAGGCAGUGGGUUUCUUAAAUAAAACCAGGAGUCUGGGUUAGCAGAAAGCUGUUAAAAAACAACGCACUUUUAGUUUAGUAAUCUUUUUGUCCUACCUGCUUCAUAAUCUUCAGUUUCCUUCUUUGUGUUCUUGGGGGAGGGGGCUGCACCUAAAUCUGAAAAUUGGGGCUCCAGGAAAUACGAUAUGACAAAAAUAAGCAUGAAAAGUCAUGAUGACCUAAAUCGGUCAAAUCAGAUUUUUCCCAUGAAUAUCAUCCUGGGGAGCUUCUUUUUCUGUUUUGUUCUGAGUUUAUUUUUCUUAUCCUUUACUCUCCAUUGCCAACCAUCACCACACAGUGAGAGAGAUUAGCACAUCAUUAUACCAUACCAUUUUCAUGUUUUACUUUCUAUAUUAUUAAUCUGCUUUUCUUUCUUCCUCCCUCCCUCCCUCCUUUCCUUCCUUCCUUCCUUCCUUCCUUCCUUCCUUCCUUCCUUCCUUAAAAGUGAGAUCGGAACUCUUAACUGAAUUAGAUAGAAAUUGAUUGUGAGGAAGUCAAAAUUUUCCAUUAGCCAACUUGUGGGAGGAAUCAGAGCAUCUCCACAUCCAUACUGUCAUCCCAGGGUGGCCGGGCAAAGAGGUGGGAGGGCCUCUGGUCAUUUGAGAGGACCAAGCAGUCGUCAUAACUAGUUCAGUCUCUGUGGCCCAUUCAGCUCUUGGCAUAGUUGCCAAGCCAGCCAACAAAGGAGCAUUGUAAUCCUGACAGUUUCCCAGCAUUGACUGGACAGGCACAGACCACCAACCAGCUCCCUUCACUCCUACUGUUCACAAGUGAGACCAUGAAUGGAAAAAAAAAGUCAGUGGCAAAAAUCCCACAUCCUGCUAAGUUGCUGUGCAGAUGCUUUUCUAGCGAGUGAGUCUCCCUCCAGGCUGGUGAUGCUCAUACCUGUUUCCUUUUUCUUUUUUGUUUGUUUGUGUUUAAGUGUAUUUAGCUGAAAUGGUGAUAACAUAAUUCUCACUGAUCCCUACCAAAAAAAUUAGGUUCGACUUUUGAUAAAUGAGCAUAUGGCACGCAGUAGUAUGGAAAAUGGGAAGUGUAACAAAAAUAAAAUGUCAUAAAUGUAAAGAAGAUAAAUUGAGGUAGGCUGCUGCUGAGUUAAGAAACUAGUGGUACAAGCCACUGUGAAUCUUAAGCAGUUGAAUUUGGAGAUAGAAGAAUAUGGUUUUCAGGUAUAAAGGGGAAUCAUUUUAACUCAAUUUUGAAUUUUGAAUAUGUGCCCCAAAGUCUGCCCUUUCUGUAGACCAAGCCAAGGACGUCUCCAACUCUGGUUUUAAAAAUAGCAAUUAGUGAAAUAAAAUUUUUUAGAACCGUGUAAAUUCAAGAGAUAUAUAUCAUGUAUUUAUUACCGAUUAAAGGUCAGGAAGUAUUUUUAACAAUUAGAUAAAAUGAUCUUUUAAUAUGUUUCAAUGGUCAAUGUGGCAUAAUUUUAUCUAUUUAAAUUGCCUUUUUAAAAAUAAGUACAGAUUCCAGUCACGGGAUGCCAUAUUUACGUACCAGUUUUCAAAUAUUCAAACAACUGACAGUGUGCUCCAUGCUGACGGUGGAGGUAGAAGAAUAUGGUGUAUAAAUUGGAUCCACAGAUUUAGACAGCAAUUUAGCAGAAUCUUAGUAGUACUCUGUCCCUUUGACUCAGUUGUCCUACUUCUUAAAAUAUAUUUAUGUGUUUAUAUAUUACAUACGUAUGUGAAAAAUAUUAUACUGAAGGCAAAAUAAGGCAAAUACAGUAUUAUUCAUCAAGGAGAAAAUAAAAGCAAAAACAGAAAGAAACAAAGCCCCCAAACAAAAUGAAAAUAGAAUUACCUUGUUAACCCUAAAUAAAUCUACAUGAUAGGAUACUAUGUAGCUAUUAAAAAUUGAUGUAUCCAGGGGCACCUGGGUGGCUCCCUCGGUUCAGCGGCUAAGUCUCCAACUCUUGAUUUUAGGUCAGGUCAUGAACUCAUGGU